CGUGUAGGCGGCUAGACAAGUCAGAUGUGAAAUCCCUGGGCUUAACCCAGGACGUGCAUUUGAAACUGUUUGGCUUGAGUAAGGAAGAGGGAAGUGGAAUUCCUGGUGUAGAGGUGAGAUUCGUAGAUAUCAGGAGGAACACCGGUGGCGAAGGCGACUUCCUGGUCCUAUACUGACGCUGAGACGCGAGAGCGUGGGGAGCAAACA
rnacentral:rRNA from 1 species